UACGUAGGGGGCAAGCGUUGUCCGGAUUUAUUGGGCGUAAAGAGCGUGUAGGCGGCCUGAAAGGUCAGCUGUGAAAACUCGAGGCUCAACCUCGAGACGUCGGUUGAAACCGCUUGGCUAGAGUCCGGAAGAGGAGAGUGGAAUUCCCGGUGUAGCGGUGAAAUGCGCAGAUAUCGGGAAGAACACCCGUGGCGAAGGCGGCUCUCUGGGACGGUACUGACGCUGAGACGCGAAAGCGUGGGGAGCGAACAGG
rnacentral:rRNA from 1 species